CACAUGCAAGUCGAACGGUAGCAGAUCUAGCUUGCUAGAUGCUGACGAGUGGCGGACGGGUGAGUAACGCGUGGGAAUUUACCUUUUAGUGGGGGAUAACUUUAGGAAACUGAAGCUAAUACCGCAUAAGACCUGAGGGUUAAAGAGGGCCUCUAUAUAUAAGCUCUUGCUAGGAGAUGAGCCCGCGUUGGAUUAGCUAGUUGGUAGGGUAAAGGCUUACCAAGGCGACGAUCCAUAGCUGGUUUGAGAGAAUGGCCAGCCACACUGGGACUGAGACACGGCCCAGACUCCUACGGGAGGCAGCAGUGGGGAAUAUUGGACAAUGGGGGGAACCCUGAUCCAGCAAUGCCACGUGUGUGAAGAAGGCCUUAGGGUUGUAAAGCACUUUCAGCGGGGAGGAAGGUAAGCUAAUUAAUACUU
rnacentral:rRNA from 1 species